rnacentral:lncRNA from 7 species
GGAAGCCUUCACCCCAAUGGUCAGGCAGGUGGGCGCAGUGCAGCCCUAAUGCAGUGAUGGUUCCUGGUGCCCCACUGAGCCAACAGCAGAAGGGGGUGAGGAUGUGGACCCACAGCGCUGCAGCCUGAGAUUAGCAGACCUUUCCAAACUAAAAAUAUUGGAGGGCUGGCAUUCAGCCAUAAUUUCUAAACUAUCCUCCAUCAGGGUUAUUCUGCUCAGUCCGAUGUGGACUUUUUUUGUAUUGAGCCAUGCUUCUCCUUGGGCAGCCAAGCCUGUUUGUUCUCUGGAUGCUGGCGUUGUCCUGCAGGCAGCCCCUGCCCUCGUGGGAUCUGAGCACCCACAGGAAGGUUUCGAGGUGUCUCCUGGAUAUAAAUUGCAGACAGCUGCCCUGAAAGGGAUGCACUGCCCUUCUCUGCACUGUCCUUUCAUCAGCACUGUGCUCUCAGCCCACCACUCCUCGUAGCUGCACUGAGCUCCACAGCUGUGACUGAGUGCGUUUUCACACUGUCUACAUAAGCUGGUGGGCAGCUCAGCCUGCCUCUACCCUCCUGGCACAGCCCUGCCCUGGGAGGAGUGCUGUGAUGCCCAGCUCUGCAGCAAGUUCCCCAUCUUUGCUUCCAUCUUCUCAUGGUUGAGAUCUCCCCCUGAAUGGAGGGCAGGGAGAAGCACUGCUCUGGAUGUGCUCCAUCAGUGGGGAUGCUGCUGCUUUUCCUUCACUACAGCACCCAGAGAUGCUUCUGCCACCCGGAUUGACUCCUUGACAUCGUUCAGCUAAUGAUCACAUUCGAGUGUGCCUGCAAAUAUAAUCAGUGACAAAUACACACAGAGUCACGCUGGGGAGGAGGAGAGGUGCUGCUUAGGAGCUCCUGCGAAGCAUCGGCGUUCUUCAGACUAUCAGCCCUUGGGGAAUAGCAGCACAUGCAAUAUUCAGCGGGACAUGGGAACCAACACGGGCAGAACCAUAAAUAUCUCCAGGAAAAGUCACCGAUGGAGUUGAUGAAGCUGAAAACGAUCAGUGUGGAGAGCUGCCCCUGGGAGCUGUGGCUGGAGAGCCGGGCUUAAUUCCCUCCAGCCCUUGGUUUACCACGGGGGAAGGCCCCCGUGUGUGCUCACACUGUGAGGGGCUCUGGGGAGGGCUCCGAAGCCCCAAAAUGCAGCU